rnacentral:rRNA from 1 species
AUACGAAGGUCCCAAGCGUUAUUCGGAAUCACUGGGCGUAAAGAGUACGUAGGCGGUUUGGUAAGUCAGGUGUGAAAUCCCGAAGCUCAACUUCGGAACUGCAUCCGAUACUGCCAGACUAGAGUAACGGAGAGGCAGGUGGAAUUCUCGGUGUAGCAGUGAAAUGCGUGGAUAUCGAGAGGAAGACCAAUGGCGAAGGCAGCCUGCUGGACAUUUACUGACGCUGAGAUACGAAGGCUAGGGGAGCGAAAGGGAUUAGAAACCCCGGUAGUCC